UUAAGAGAAACAUUUGAUUAAUAAUAAUCACAAACAAUAUAAAAUAAUCCACCUGGCAAAUUAUUGUUAAGAGAAUGAGAGUUUCAAUCAUUCUCCAAUAGGAAAAGAGCUAGAUAAAAGGAAAGGAAUAGAGAAACAAACAGCCAACACAUCCUAACAAAACAACUAGGAUGAUUACGGGACAAUCUGCAAUUUGCAGCGCAACCUGCAGCCUGAAACUAACGCACAAUAAUUGAAAGAGCAUAUGAUAACCGUAAACUGCUGGUCCAAGGAACAUAAAUUAAAAAUGGUAAUUAUUACCUCAUCUAACUUUCUUGGGAUUCUGGCAACGUCCGUGGCUUUGUAGGUAACCCAGAAAAUUGUCCACG
rnacentral:misc_RNA from 1 species